GCCUGGGUGGCUCAGUCGGUUGGGCCUCCGACUUCGGCUCAGGUCAUGAUCUCACGGUCCGUGGGUUCGAGUCCCGCUUCGGGCU
rnacentral:tRNA from 1 species